rnacentral:tRNA from 1 species
ACCGAAAUAGCUCAGUUGGGUGUGUUAGACUAUAGAUCGAAAAGUCCCUGGUUCCAUCCCAGGUUCCGGAA